AGAAACCCGGAGAUCUCUCAAGCUAGCACCAUCAAGGAAAACAAAUCAGCAAAACAAUCAGAAUAAAUCUCCAAAUGGUAUCCCACAAAUAAAGUGGAAUACCAAGCAAGCGAUCUCUUCAAGAGUCAUGUGAGCCCUCACAAAAAGGAAAACAAAUCAGCAAAACAAUCAGAAUAAAUCUCCAAAUGGUAUCCCACAAAUAAAGUGGAAUACCAAGCAAGCGAUCUCUUCAAGAGUCAUGUGAGCCCUCACAAAAACUCAACAAACAGGUUAUAGAAACAAG
rnacentral:lncRNA from 1 species